GGCCAGCAAGAGAAGAGUGCCCCCUAAUUCCUUGACUAGGAAAUAGAUGCACGUUGGGUGUUUGGUGAUUGCACUCACUUCUUCCCCGGCUCAUGCUGACUUCUCUUUUCCCACAGUACAGCCGACACAGUGACUUCCCCCUCUUACCCGGGGAGCUCUGCAUUGAGCGACGUCUCCCCAUCUUCCUGGCACACCCCUCCAUGCCCUCCGUCACCGCUGAGCCCUCCAGGAGGGACACCUGUUAUUGAGGAUGCUACCCGAUUACGUGCAGGACCGAUGCACACCCUACCCACACGCGCUCACACAGACUUCAGCUGUGCCCCUCUGCGCCUGGAGAAACACAAACAAAGACAACAAAAUCGUGCUUUUGGCUGAGUGAGAGAAGGCUUCCACUUCUCCAAAUUCUGCGAGUUUGUGUAAUGAACUGGAAAUAAACA